rnacentral:rRNA from 1 species
UACGAAGGGGGCUAGCGUUGCUCGGAAUUACUGGGCGUAAAGCGCACGUAGGCGGAUUGUUAAGUCGGGGGUGAAAUCCUGGAGCUCAACUCCAGAACUGCCUUCGAUACUGGCGAUCUCGAGUUCGGGAGAGGUGAGUGGAACUGCGAGUGUAGAGGUGAAAUUCGUAGAUAUUCGCAAGAACACCAGUGGCGAAGGCGGCUCACUGGCCCGAUACUGACGCUGAGGUGCGAAAGCGUGGGAGCAAGCAG